AACAAAGAAGUAUGCAGAAAACACCCUGGUUUCGUGAAGGACAAGCUGAUGUAAUGUUAAACUAUCUUCCCCUUAGAAAUGUACUAACUUAGGGUAUAAAAGCUAUGGUAAAAAAUAAAUCAUUGCCAGACUCUUCCAGACUCUGCCAGAUCCUGCAAAGA